GAUACCAGAGUGAAACAGGUUCUCAUUUGCUCACCAAAAUUAAGCAAAGUUGAGCCUGAUCAGUACCUAGAUGGGUGACCACUUGGGAAUAUCAGGUGUCGAAA